CAAUGGAAGAGGACAGUAAAUUUUGGUGGAAUGGUCAAAUGUGGAUUGGAAUUGGUGUUGGAACUGGUGUUUUGGUUUUGGUCAUUCUGAUAUUCGUUAUUACAUGGUUUGUAAGACGAAAGAGAAAUAGUAACAUCUCCUCCACAUCAGACCAAAA